UUUUCGUCUUUUAAAUUUGACGGGUGUAGUUAUUGCGAUACUAGUAUUUAGGUAAUUACCUAUUUCCAGUGAAUCAUUUGUAAAUUGUAAAGGUAAUGAUCUCUAUAUGCAUAUUUAUAACCAUCAUGGGGUUUUUUAUGUUAAUAUUCACAGGUAAUUUUCAUAUAUUUUAAACGUUUCUGUUAUGGGUGAUGUUUCAUCUUAUUCUGUCAUUUUAUUUCAUAUACAUUAAGAUUUUAAUAAAUUGUAUUCACUCCAAUAUCAUACAUAAAUAAACGACAAACACAAGACAUGUUCAAGUUGUCUAAAAGAAAGUGGCGUCAAAACGUCAAUAUAUUUUGCAAUAUUUUUACCAAAGGGUUAACAUAUUUAAAUGUAGAAAGUUGUUGUCAAAGAUUACUAUACUAUAGUACAGGCACUACGCUAUAGCGUGCUAUGAGGACGAAAACUCUCAUAUAUUUUGCUGUCAUUUUCUCAUGUGAGUAUGAUAAUUAUCAUUAAUAAACUUGUUUAAAGUCCGAU
rnacentral:misc_RNA from 1 species